AUUCAUGUUAAGUGAAAUAGGUCAGAAACAGAAAGAUGAAUAUGGAUGCUCUCACUCUCAGGCAGAAGUUGAAAAACAAAAGAAGAUCAGAAAAGAAAACACAAGUAGAACCUGAAUUGGAGUUUACGUACUGCACCAAAGUAAAAGACUUUGGGGUGUGUGUGUAUAGGGGGAGAAUACAGGUCCAAAAACGAUAACAGAAGACCCAGUGGGGGUUGUAUUGUUAAAUGGAAAACUGGGAAAUGUUAUGAAUGUACAAACUACUGUAUUUUCUGUCGAAUGUAAAACAUUAUUUCCCCAAUAAAAAAAUUUAAAAUAAAAAAAAAAUAUAUUUAUAAGACCCACAAGUUUGGAUUCAGCUGUGUUGACUAUAUUUACAACAUCAAGAUUGACUCUCUGAGUUUACUUUGGUCAAUGCCACUCAGACCUUUUAGCUGUGAUGCCACUUUGUUCUUUGUCCUGUUGAAUAUGACAAUAUCUUUUGAUAGGUGACAAUAUCCUCCAGGUGAGAGUCUGGGAUGUAGAUAAGACUGGAGGCAGGCAUGUAGGAAAGAGAGAAGUUCAUGGAACAUGAGUGCCUUUCAGUCACCAAGUUGCAGAUGCUACCAUGAUGCCAUCCUGACUUCCCUGGGCAGACAACCUCACCAAUAUGUCCUGGAACCCCACCUCCCCAGAGUCCUACCCCACUAGGGAAAGGUAAAAAAAGGCUGGAGGUUUGGAUCCACCUGACAUCACCCAUGUCUAGCAGAGAAGUAACUACAGAAGCUAGACUUUCCACCUUCUGCACCCCAUAAAGAAUUUUGCUCCAUACUCCCAGAGGGGUAAAGAAGAGGGAAUUUUCCAAUGGAGGGCAUGGGGCAGGGAACUCUGGUGGUGGGAAAUAUGUGGAAUUGUACCCCUGUUAUCUUACAA